GAGGCAGUUCUUGUGUCCAAGUGCUUGAAUAGGACUCUUCUUGUUGCUUGUGUGUUUCAGUAAAAUUGGAAGAAAAUCAUGGUCUGAGGUGAGGAUGAAAGAAGAAGCGUUAGAACUUUGAGAAGUGAACCUAUGCAAACUAUUUUCUUACUUCUGCAACAGGAAGUUAGGACUCUUCUCCCUCAUUUGCUACUGGUAUUACAAAAAUAUCAGAUGUUAACGAGUCCACUGCCUUGCUGCCUUUUCUGUAUUAGGAAGACUCAAUGAUAUCAAAUAUUUUUAUCCAGUUGUUCCAGCAUCAUUUGUUGAAAAGUCUAUUCAUUCUGUCUGUACAGAAUUACUUCUUCACACUUGUGAAAAAUCUAUUUGCCAUAUCUGUAUGGGUCAAUUUCUGGACUUUCUGAAGUGUUCUAUUGGUCUAUGUUUAUAUCCCUUUGCCAGUACCAUACCAUCUUGAUUACAGUAACACCGUGAAUAAUACCCUCCAAGUCCAUCUAUGUUGUCACAAAUGAAGAGGUAAAUAUGGGAUUUGAACCAUGCAGUCUGUCUCCUGGCCCUGUGCACCUAGCUAAGUGCAAAGAGCUGAAUAUAAUGACGAUGCUUCGCUCAUCUUCCAGCUCCCCUUUACAUCGGAAUGUUUAUGCAAGGAUGUGCUUAGCAUGGGACUUCUGAAGACUACCCCCAUCACCCAAAGUGGAAAAGAUCAGACAGUUUCUCCUCCAUUUGCCCACCUCUCCUUCCCACUCAAAAGGCUGCUUCUGGCUUCUUUGGUUUAAACAUGGGUGGAGGAAGAAUAGUGGAAGAAGAAGAAGUAGAGAACUUGUGCUUUUAUAGUAAGACGUCCAGCUACCCUGAAGCAACCAUUCUAAAGAGACCAUACUGAGACUGUACAUAAGAGAAAGAUGCCUAAGGAGGGGCUCUUCUAGACUCCUGUUGUUUGAGCUUUCUAAUUAUCAACCUACCAACAUCAAUAGAAGAGACAGACCAUUCUUACAAAACUGGGACUGGUUAACCAUCAUCCCUCCUAUUUUAACUCAAGGACUGGUGGGCGGUUGUCUCCCGUAUGAAAGUUACUGAGCAGAUGUGCUGGACUCUGCCAAGACAUAGAGAGAGAGACUGGGAACAGAUGACAAAGGAAAAGAAAACAAUAGAUAAACCAGAAACUAAUGAAAAAGCUUAAAGGAUACAGGAGCGAUGGGAAUGGGGUAGAAGGCAUUGAGAUGACAGCAAGACUUCUCUGUGCGAGUCCCAGCCUACUCCCUAGUGAUGGUCCUUGUAACCAGGAGCCCAAAGGUGCUCUUUUCUGCCGUCUGAAUGAACUGGAUCUGCUGGGACAAGACAAAGCAAAGCUGGGCUGAGACUCAGAUCUCAACCCACCUGAAUUUUGGCUGCAAGAUAGAGCAAACUUCCCAAGAAGCCAAGGUGUCUCGUCUUUGCCACAUGGGGGUAUCCUGAAGUGCGAGGCACAGGAGGAGCGCUACUUGUCCAGAUCUAAGUAAAAUAUAUCCAUUGCAGUAAAUCAGUUGUCUGCCUCAAAAAAGAAAAGGGUAAGAAAAAUCAUUUAUAAUGUGUUUACCCAGAGAAAACCAUUUUUAUUGUUGAAUAUAUUUCCUUACUUACACACAUAUAUUGGGAAAAAAUUAAUAAUACUAAUUAUGAUGUAUCACAUGAAAAUGUAUAGAAAAGAAAUAUCUAAUAUUUGUCUAUGAAGCUAUGCAAGCAAGAAUACAGGUUAUAUAAUUUUUCAUUCUUGGAGUAGAACAUCAUGAAUUGUUAACUCAGUCUCAAUAGAGCCUCAAUAGGUAUAAAUAUCUUCACUUUACAGUUCUAGCAGUUACAGGCAGGCUGAUCCUCUGAAGAACAAGACAACACUUUGGUGAAAUUUAAGUGGCUUUUGUGACAUUUUUUAUCUGCUAUUUUAGCCUAUUCUCUUUCUUUUUGAUUCAGCCCUAAUCUCCAUUCCUUAGGAACACAUGGGUUUUAUUCUUGCUUUCUUAAAGUCCCAAUAAGGUCAUCACUGGUUUUCCAUCAUCACUGGUUUUCCAUCAACUUGCUUUUUUAAUACUGUGCAAAUUUUCCUCUACGUUUUCUAAAUCAAAAUUUAUGUGAUCGUUUUCUCAGUCAGUUGUCCAUUGGUACAUAAUCACAUUAGCAAAUAUGCAUCUCUUAAGAGAAUUAACAAGGUGCUUGGUCAAAUGACAUGGGGGUUUCAGAAGUGAAAUAGUCACAGUCCUCUCUCAAUAAGCACAGAUAACCACUAUAGAAGAAAGAUGUGAUCAGAAUACUAAACAGGGACAAAUACACUUCUAUGAGAAUUCAUGCCAGAGAUUAACUUUGAUUUGGUGAAUAAUGAUGGGAGGAAGUUUCCAUGAAAGAUGUACCAUUUCAGUGAGUUGCAUUUGGAAGAAGUCAAACGAGGUACUGCAUCUCUCCCUGGGCUUCAGAUUAUUUUUAAAAAAUAAAGGAGUUAGACUACUUUUAAUAUCUAAUAACUCUAUCAGUACCAAUUAGUGCAAAAUAUCAAGACAUUCUUUGGUGACUAUACGGAUGAACAAAUCAAGUAACAGAUCUUCUCAGUCACUUCAUUGUCUAUGGGGACUCUAAUACCCACUUGACUCUGUGUGUCACCUUGAUAACACUUUCCUCUGUGUCUCCACGGGUCCUGAAGACCUGCCUCUAUGCUUUCUGAAUUCACUGUCAGUCAUAAAUAAUCCACCCACUCCCCCAUAUGUGCCACCGUAUCUCUGAAAGCUCCCCUCAGCUUCUUCCAGUUAUUCUUCCCUGUGGACACUGCUUUCCCUGGAGCCUUCUCAAAAAGAGGUAGUUUUCUUCUCAUACUCUGCAUCCUUUGGC